rnacentral:siRNA from 1 species
ACGGUUAAAUACGGUUAUGGUUA